UACGGGGGGAGCAAGCGUUGUUCGGAUUUACUGGGCGUAAAGGGCGCGUAGGCGGUCGUGACAAGUCACUUGUGAAAUCUCCGGGCUUAACUCGGAACGGUCAAGUGAUACUGUCGGACUAGAGUACAGAAGGGGCAACUGGAAUUCUCGGUGUAGCGGUGAAAUGCGUAGAUAUCAGGAGGAACACCGGUGGCGAAGGCGGUUCUCUGGGCCUUACCUGACGCUGAGGAGCGAAAGCAUGGGGAGCGAACAGG
rnacentral:rRNA from 1 species